AUGCACAGCUCUUUUUGUCCCUGCCCCUCCAGCUUUUUCCUGGGAUGCACUCAUGCAUCUCCUCCUCCUUUCUCUGGGAUGCACCCCAACCUCCUCCUUUUUCUGGGAUGCACUCCCCACCUCCUCCUUUUUUUUUUUUGCAGGAUACAAUCACACAGGUCCUGCUUUUGUGGGAUGCAGAUCUCUCUUUUCUUUUUUUUCCAGGAUGCUCUCAAGCGUCUUUUUUUUUUUUUUCCCUUUNNNNNNNNNNNNGAUUCCCUGCACUUCCUCAAGGGUUCCAACAGCUCAACCUGCCCCAAAAGUGGAGCCAUACACACCCAAAAACCUGACCCAAAAAUCCCCACUGAGCAUGUUCGUGGCAAAAUAAGCAGGGAGGGGAUCUGGGGCAGAGAGCAGAGCCAUUCCCAAGGCUGGCUUUCCCUGCUUUUCCCUGGGAAAUGCUUCCCAGAGCAGCCCCACCCCGGGAGCCCUAAUCUGAUGGCAGGUUUUCAAUGGAGCAGCCAGGAUGGGGAGGGAGAGAGGCUGGACAAGGGGGGGGAAAGAAAGCAAGGAAAUGCCUCUGAGGUGAGGAGCUUUUUUUUUCUCUGGCUGGGGCCGCCUUGCUUUGCUUUGCUUUUCUUUGUUUUAUUUUGUUUUAUUUUAUUUUGUUUUGUUUUGUUUUGCUCGCCCGCCUCCAGCGCUGCCAUUUUCCGGAAGCCGGAGCAGCGCUGGCUGGCUGGCAGAGAAAUGGGAAGUUUCUCUUUGUUUAAUUCGAGCAGCCUCUGCUCCGAGGGACCAAGCAGAGCUCCCCCCCAGCUGCUCUGGGAACGGAUGCGAGGCAGGAGCGGGGAGCAGCAGCAGGGAAUGGGGCAGGAAUUGGGGAUUUCACAUCGGACACGGCUCUCGGUGCCCGGGAUGUGUGUGAGAAUGGAGAGGCUUUGGCCGAACUCCCUGGUGACCACUGCAUCCAUUAUUCCACUUCCUGGGGCUUUUUCCUGCUCCUUUUCUCCAUGCUUGACCUGUGGAGGUGAUUUUAGGGGGAUAACUUGA
rnacentral:lncRNA from 1 species